CAGUUAAUGAGAAGACCUGCCUGCCCGAGGAGCUGACGACCUCACUGCAAAGAGGGACACUGAACAAUCCCUGCUUUACUUUUUUUUUUUUGAGAUGAAGUCUUACUCUGCUGCCCAGGCUGGAGCGCAGUGGUGCGAUCUCGGCUCACUGCAACCUCUGCCUCCCAGGUUCAAGCAUUCCUCCCGCCUCAGCCUCCCAAGUAGCUGGGAUCACAGGUGCAUGCCACCAUGCCCAGCUGAUUUUUUUAUGUUUAGUAGAGAUGAGGUUUCACCAUGUUGCGCAGGCUGGUCUCGAACUCCUGACCUCAGGUGAUCCACCUGCCUCGGCCUCCCAAAGUGCUGGGAUUACAGGUGUAAACCACCACGCCCGGCCUCAAUCCCUGCUUUACUGCUGGCGUAUCACCAAGGCAGGGUUCAGGGCUCUUGAGAAAUGCAUAAGAUGGUGGCCCAAACUGCCUCAGGGGAAGGGGAGUGUGGGAAAAGUCUCCUUAAGGAAAUGACAUUGAAGUUAGGACCUGAGAGCUAAGGAAGCUGAUCUUCAAAACCAUGUUAUUACAUAAAACUAUGGAAGAGCAAUGAGUAGGCACCACACACUUACAAGACACACGAGCCAAACGCCUUCCAGGCAAGGCGUCCUGCCCUACCUGUGGGGUGGAACUGAACAAACUCGAGGUCCUGGCAAGGAAGGCCUGCCCUGGUGAUCAUGGCCAUGCUGUCGCUGGUGCUGGUGUGGGCAGACAUGCAGCUCAAGUAGGUGCGCCCGUAGCCUAUGGAAACAACAGAGAGCAGUGACUGCACACAGCGGCCCACGUCCGGACCUCCUGUCUAGUGAGAUCACAGAAUGGACAGGGCAGCCCCCGGGCACCAACUUCUCAGUGCUGUGUGCACACAACCCCCUACUCACACACACCCCACACACAUCACUGGGGGCCACGCCAGUGGUGCUGCUACCCUGCGCAGGUAGGAUAGAAGCCUGGGAUCAGAGAAGGGACUUCCAUUUGUAUUUUAUUUUAUUUAUUUAUUUUGAGACAGGGUCUAACUCUUGUUGCCCAGGCUGGAGUACGGUGGUACAAUCUCGGCUCAUGGCAACCUCCGGCUCCCAAGUUCAAGUGAUUCUUCCGCCUCAGCCUCCUGAGUACCUGGGAUUACAGGUGUGCACCACCACACCCAAUUAAUUUUUGUAUUUUUAGUAGAGACUGGGUUUCGCCAUGUUGGCCAGGCUGGUCUCGAACUCCUGACCUCAGGUGAUCCACCCACUUCGGCCUCCCAAAGUGCUGGGAUUACAGGCAUGAGCCACUAUGCGUCUGGCCCUAUUUGUAUUUUAGAUUUGUGCUGUUCAAAACGUUUCCCCAAUAAGCAUAUACUACUUUUAUAAUGAAAAUUUUAAAAUUUUUAUGGAUUUUGGUUUUUUCACCCAGGUAUAAAGACCACUUGGCAAUCCCCUGCUCCCGGAGAGAGAGGGAUCAUUACUGAGGCUACAGGCAGGAGACUGGAGCAACUAUUCAGAGGGAAAAGGAGCUAGAAUAGCAAACUCCACAAGGACAAGAUAUUAUUUUGUACCCCACAUCUUCUGGGUAUCUAGCAAAAUGCCUGGUCCUCAGGAAGUACUCAGUAAAUGUUAAACUAAUAAAACAUUACUUUCUGAGAACAUGUCAAACAAAGAUUUAGGCCUGGGGUUGGGAGACACAGAAAGAAGUAUCCAGAGAAUCUCAGUCAGUCUCAAAAUUAUGGCUCGACAGAGAAAUUCCCUUCAAUCCAAACCCAGGUCCUAAUGCGGCUUCCUCGAAGGCUGUGACAUGUGUGGUGAACUUAGUGGAUCUCAUACCUCCUCAUGUCAAAUUAGAUGGUAGCCUGAGCUCAUGCAUUGCCACUGAGGCAGGAGAGAGGGGACAGAGUAGAAAUAUUGGAGUCUGAAUGGACAGGAUGUGGAAACUGACAGUAUGUGGGUACUGAAGGAAGUGAAUUAGAGAUGAGCAUAAUAGAGGGUGACCCUCUUCCCAGGGUUGCUGUAAGGAGUAGUAAAUGAACACACAGUGCUUCAUGCCAUAUGGUAGGUUCUUUUUUUGGGGGUGGGGGGCAACGGCAUCUUACUCUGUCACCCAGGCUGGAGUGCAAUAGCGCAGUCUCGGCUCACUGCAACCUCCACCUCCCGGGU
rnacentral:lncRNA from 1 species